CAAUUGAAUGAGCAGAAGAAUCGCUUCUUUCGACAAGAAAUUUAUUCAUUUCUUCAUAGAAUCUUUUCAAAGAUUAAUUUCAAGGCAUAAUUUUUAAAAAGCCAAAAAUAUUAACUUUAUAACUUGGAAAUUUGUCCAGUCAGACAAGCCACUUCCACAGCUGUUUCAACUGUAUGCCUCUUUACUGCACUUGUCCAGCUUCUUCUCAACAUUGAUCCUUAAUCAUCGUGCUUGCUCAUACUGAAUGUUUGGUUCUGCACAUGUACAAGCAGGCUGCAUGAUGAGCUGAUUUCCCUUCUCCUGUCCAUGUGUGCAAUCAAAUCGCCACAGGCGCUAUCUCAGAAGGCUACAGAAAGGGGCACACUUCUCAUCUUGUUUGGCCCACCGCAUACUGGUUGAAAACUUCUGAUGUAGAAGAAUAAGGGACAGGAAAUGCCACUUGUCCCUUCCCUAAUUGUGUCAUCUGCAGAGAGAAGUUGGCAAACGCUGCACUGGUCCAAACAAUGGAAAACUUUAGGAAGAAUGCAAGAGACCUUGAAAGGUGCAAGGGAGAUUCACCAGAAUUCUUCCAGAAAUGGGGGAUAUUAGCUGCAAGUUUUGACAGGAACAAAUGAACACUUCAAGUGAAAUAUUUAUACCUAUUUCAUCAUGAGGAAGAGCAUACCAAAAGAAAACCCAGCACAUGAUGUUUGGUACUGCUUUGUUUCCUCUUGCAUCACCUGUGUAAGUUGCAUCAUUUAUUUUUAAUUGCUGUCUGAUAGUAUAAACCUUGAGUAUUGCUGAAGAAACAAAACAUUUCGUCAAAGCU